GCGCUCGUAGCUCAGUGGUAGAGCACCGCCCUUAUAAGACGGUAGUCGCAGGUUCGAUCCCUGCCGAGCGCA
rnacentral:tRNA from 1 species